rnacentral:rRNA from 1 species
UACAGAGGGUGCAAACGUUGCUCGGAAUUAUUGGGCGUAAAGCGCAAGUAGGCGGUAAUUUAGGCCAGCCGUGAAAGCCCAUGGCUCAACCAUGGAAGUGCAGCUGGAACCGGAUCACUAGAGUAUCGACGAGGAUGGUGGAAUUCCCAGUGUAGAGGUGAAAUUCGUAGAUAUUGGGAGGAACACCGGUGGCGAAGGCGGCCAUCUGGGAGAUAACUGACGCUGAGUUGCGAAAGCAUGGGGAUCAAACAGG